rnacentral:rRNA from 1 species
GUCCACGCCGUAAACGAUGAGAACUAGGUGUUGCGGGUAUUGACCCCUGCAGUGCCGUAGCUAACGCAUUAAGUUCUCCGCCUGGGAAGUACGGUCGCAAGACUAAACUCAAAGGAAUUGACGGGGGCCCGCACAAGCGGUGUAGCAUGUGGUUUAAUUCGAAGCAACGCGCAGAACCUUACCUGGGCUUGACAUCUACGGAACCUUGUGGAAACACAGGGGUGCCUUCGGGAGCCGUAAGACAGGUGCUGCAUGGCUGUCGU